rnacentral:snRNA from 1 species
AUACUCUGGUUUCUCUUCAGAUCGUAUAAAUCUUUCGCCUUUUACUAAAGAUUUCCGUGGAGAGGAACAUUUAUGAGUGUUUGAUUAAUUUUUUGAAGCUCUGUUCCGGCAGGGCU